UACGUAGGGUGCAAGCGUUGUCCGGAAUUAUUGGGCGUAAAGAGCUCGUAGGCGGUCUGUCGCGUCGGAUGUGAAAACUCGGGGCUCAACCCCGGGCCUGCAUUCGAUACGGGCAGACUAGAGUACGGCAGGGGAGACGUGGAAUUCCGUCGGUGGUAGCGGUGAAAUGCGCAGAUAUCAGGAGGAACACCGAUGGCGAAGGCAAUCCC
rnacentral:rRNA from 1 species